rnacentral:rRNA from 1 species
GACGAACGCUGGCGGCGUGCUUAACACAUGCAAGUCGAACGGAAAGGCCCUGCUUUUGUGGGGUGCUCGAGUGGCGAACGGGUGAGUAACACGUGAGUAACCUGCCCUUGACUUUGGGAUAACUUCAGGAAACUGGGGCUAAUACCGGAUAGGAGCUCCUGCUGCAUGGUGGGGGUUGGAAAGUUUCGGCGGUUGGGGAUGGACUCGCGGCUUAUAAGCUUGUUGGUGGGGUAGUGGCUAACCAAGGCUUUGACGGGUAGCCGGCCUGAGAGGGUGACCGGCCACAUUGGGACUGAGAUACGGCCCAGACUCCUACGGGAGGCAGCAGUGGGGAAUAUUGCACAAUGGGCGGAAGCCUGAUGCAGCAACGCCGCGUGCGGGAUGACGGCCUUCGGGUUGUAAACCGCUUUCGCCUGUGACGAAGCGUGAGUGACGGUAAUGGGUAAAGAAGCACCGGCUAACUACGUG